UGAGUCGCCUUAACUCAAAAUAAUAACUUCUUGAGAGACAUCAAACUCUGAGUAACUGAGAAUUAUUAUUUUGAGUUGGUUUGACUCAUUCUGAAUAAAUCGAAGCAGAACUAGAAAAUGAGUUCACAGUGAAAAUUUCAAGAAGUUCAACGGUCACUGAUAGAAUUUCACCAUUAACAUCUUGAAACAACGACCCAAGCCUAUAGGCAACUGAAGCACAACUAUUUAGACAAGGAACAUAUAUUAUCUAUUUUACUAUUUUGGAUCUAUACAAUGGGACCUUCACUAGCCGUUCGCUAAGAUGCUCGCCUAUAACGAGGUCUACAGAGCAAGACGAUGCUGAAGGUGACCGGGUCCGAUCCUCGGUUCGGUCUAGGAAAUUUUCGGGUUAGUGAUUUUCUUGACUUCCCUGGGCAUAAAAGUACCAUCGUGUUAGCUUCAUACGAAUGCAAAAAUGGUAACUUGGCUUAGAAACGUCGCUGUUUAUAACUGUGGAAGUGCUUAAUAAAUACUAAGCAGCAAGGACAUUCACAGAUCACUCGAAAAAUGGAUGAAACAUUUCCGGGAUUUUGUCGUCGCCUUUGUACACUUCGUCAAAUGUCAGCAUCAGUGACCGCUAUUACGACAUCCAGCUAUAACAGCAGAUAUGAAGGAGGUUUGGGCAGAGGUCCACGAUUAGAUCCCUUACUAAUUUAUGCUUCUUGUGCCAAUGCUCUUUUCUUCUUGCCGCAUCAUUACCCUCGUCAUUACCAACGACCGCUCAACAACCAUUUUAGGAUCGUUGAAUUAUUUUAUUAUAUUUAGAAAGAAUUUAUUAUAUUUAGAAACUAUUGUAUUUAUUUCAAUUUAUAUUUGAUAAUAAAUGUACUCUGUUUCCGAAUUAAUUAUCUUUUAACUGAACAAGAUUGGUUUUCUCGAUUUGACAAACUCAAAAUCCUAUAUAUCAAAUUUUAUGAAUUUGAG